rnacentral:rRNA from 1 species
GUCCUGGACCCGAAGCGGGAUGAUCUAGCCCUGAGCAGGUUGAAGCGCGGGUAAGACCGCGUGGAGGACCGAACCCACCUGGGUUUAAAACCGGGGGGAUGACUUGGGGUUAGGGGUGAAAGGCCAAUCAAAUUCCGUGAUAGCUGGUUCUCUCCGAAAUGCAUUUAGGUGCAGCGUCGGGUUAUUGCGUCCGGGGGGUAGAGCUACUGGAUGCUUGCGGGCCCAUAUCGGGUACCAAUAGCAGCCAAACUCCGAAUACCCGUGACGUGUAUCCCGGCAGUGAGUCGGCGGGGGAUAAGCUCCGUCGUCGAAAGGGAAACAGCCCAGACCGUCGUCUAAGGUCCCCAAGCGCGUGCUAAGUGGGAAAGGAUGUGGAGUCGCAUAGACAGCCAGGAGGUUGGCUUAGAAGCAGCCACCCUUGAAAGAGUGCGUAACAGCUCACUGGUCUAGUGGUUCCGCGCCGACAAUGUAGCGGGGCUCAAGCACGCCACCGAAGACGCGGCAGCGUUUCGUACGCUGGGUAGGAGAGCGUCCCCUGCGGGGCGAAGCGGCGGAGUAAUCCUGCCGUGGACCGUUGGGGAGUGAGAAUGCAGACAUGAGUAGCGAGAGGCGGGUGAAGAUCCCGCCCGCUGGAUGACCAAGGGUUCCAGGGCCACGUUCAUCGUCCCUGGGUGAGUCGGGUCCUAAGGCGAGGCCGACAGGCGUAGUCGAAUGGAUGAACGGGUCGAUAUUCCCGUACCGGCUUUCAGCCGCCCAAACCGAAAGGGUGAGUACUAACCUCCGCGUCGUCGCGUCCCCGGCCUUCGGGCCUGGGGCGGGUCGUCGUGUUGGGAGCGUAGCCCCGGUAGGUCAGCGCAGGAGUGACGCAGAGAGGUAGCCGGCCGCGGAGGUGGUUUUCCGUGGCCAAGCACGCAAGCCGCGGGGCAGGCAAAUCCGUCCCGCAUCAGGCCGAGGUGUGAUGGUGGGGCCCGUUGGGGCCGAAUCCGGUGAUCCUAGCUGCCGAGAAAAGCUUCGGCGUCAGGCUGUCAGCCGCCCGUACCCCAAACCGACACUGGUGGUCAGGUAGAGAAUACCAAAGCGAUCGAGCGAAUCCUGGUCAAGGAACUCGGCAAAUUACUCCCGUGCCUUCGGUAUAAGGGAGACCCCCGGCGGUGACGGCCCUUGCGGCCCGAGCGGUUGGGGGUGGCACAGACCAGGGGGUAGCGACUGUUUACCAAAAACACAGGAGCGUGCGAAGACGUAAGUCGCUGUAUACGCUCUGACGCCUGCCCGGUGCCGGAAGGUUAAGAGGAUCCGUCAUCCCUUCGGGGGGCAGCGGUGAAUUCAAGCCCCGGUAAACGGCGGUGGUAACUAUAACCAUCCUAAGGUAGCGAAAUUCCUUGUCGGGUAAGUUCCGACCUGCACGAAUGGCGUAACGA